UUUCAGCUGCUAACUAGAAUUUCAGAGUUCAGGGACACACCACUGCCUCUGGGAUGUGAGGAAUGAAUCAUGCUCCCACUGAGUAGCACCUAGAAGCCACAAACAACAUUUAUGCUCCAAGUACAAGUCAAACAGACAAGCUGGACAAAAGAAGAGGGGAAGACCGAACAGUGAAGCAACUGUGACUGUCUGAAACCUGAAAUCCUGCUCUUGCCUUUGUUUCAAGAUAAUUGGCAUCAUCACAGAUCCUCACAGGAGGUGAGAGGCUUCAUACCAGCUAUGAACUGACUGCUCAGAGGAAUUUUCCAUCUAUUGACUCCUCUGUGAAAUCCUAUGAAAUACGAACUUUCAUUUCUACCCAGGAGAACUUUUACACUCUUUUCUCCAAUGCUUGAUGAAGGGUGUUUGUGCCUGACAGCUUGCAAUUAAAGACUUUUUUGCAAAAAUG